rnacentral:misc_RNA from 1 species
UCUCCGUAGGUGAACCUGCGGAGGGAUCAUUAAGAUGCGCACAGCCUCUGCGCGCGGCGGCCCACCAGCUGCCGCACGCACGCCUUGCAUCCUCGAUAUUACAGCACCUUGCGUUCUCCUUCGGCGGGGCAACCUGCCGCUGGAACUUAACAAAACCUUUUUUUUGCAUCUAGCAUUACCUGUUCUGAUACAAACAAUCGUUACAACUUUCAACAAUGGAUCUCUUGGCUCUGGCAUCGAUGAAGAACGCAGC